GGUGCCCUCAGCCCUCUGGCUGGAUGUAGGAGGGCACAAGAGAAGCCUUAAUACAAGGAGUCAGGAACACAAGGAGGCUUCAUGGUAGAGCGCAAAGAGCUGGGUUUGGAGAUCUGGAGCCCUGACGUCAUGCCCAGAGAGGGCCGCAGCAUCUUUUCUCUGAGCUCGGCUGCGUGGUCAGGUCAGAAGGGGUUAGACAACCUCAGGGAAUCCCUAAGGGUCUUUUCAUUUGUAUAUUUAGAGUCUCUGGACCAGGAGGACUUAAAAUAACAAUUAUUUACAGCUUUGCAGAAAAUGAGAGAAACCUGUAAGAGUGAGCUUUCUACAACAGGAUAACAGAGGAUUUAGACUGAGCCAGCACACAGAGCCAGAGGUAGAACUCAGAGGAAUACUCUUUUCCAGUGAGGUCUGUUCUGACUUUCAAAGGGAUAUGUCCCCCUCCAGCCCUAUAUUACAGUACACUUGGUGUCUGGGAGGGUGCUGUCUUUGUGUGCUGGUUUCUUUUAAUGAUAGUGAAAAUUCUUUCUUAGGCAAAAAAGGCCCAGAGCACAGGAAAUAUAGUGAGGUGGCAGUGGGUGGUGGAGCUGGAGUGGCAGCCGUCGUCAGAUUGGAUACCAGGAAACAACCUGUCACAUGACCUCCAAGAACCUGAAGGCUUGAGGAAUCAAUCACUCUUCUGGGAAUACUUGUCUAGCAAACGCCUCACCCACAGCUUCCUCUAGCCAAAUAUAUAAGCAGGAGACCUGAAUCUGCUCGCAAUAAAGAAGAAAAAGUUAAAAAAACAAAAAACAGAAAACAUGUGCUGUAGCAAGUUACAGUGUCUACCUACUGCCUCACUUCAGAAAUAAAUCAAUGGAGAAGAGUGUUCUGGUUACCAUGCUGUGUAAGAAACUUCUAAAGGUAGUGGCUUAAAAGGACAAUUGUUUUGUUUAUGUGGGUCAGGAGCUUAUACGAGUGUUGAGGAAGCCUGUCACACAUCCAUGUCCGAAGGUUAUCUCCUCUUGAGAACAGAAUUGGAGUGGGGCAACGAGGGAAAUCAACCCUGAAUAUUCAUCGGAAGGACUGAUGCUGAAGCUGAAGCUCCAGCACUUUGGCCACCUGAUGCAAAGAGCUGACUCAUUGGAAAGACCUUGAUGCUG